rnacentral:rRNA from 1 species
UGGGGAAUCUUGCGCAAUGGGCGAAAGCCUGACGCAGCGACGCCGCGUGAGUGAUGAAGGCCUUCGGGUUGUAAAGCUCUGUGGGGAGAGACGAAUAAGUGCGAGUGAAUAUCUCGUACGAUGACGGUAUCUCCUUAGCAAGCACCGGCUAACUCUGUGCCAGCAGCCGCGGUAAGACAGAGGGUGCAAACGUUGUUCGGAAUUACUGGGCGUAAAGCGUGUGUAGGCGGCAAGGUAAGUCGGAUGUGAAAGCCCCGGGCUCAACCCGGGAAGUGCAUUCGAUACUGUUUUGCUUGAGUAUCGGAGAGGUUGGUGGAAUUCUCGGUGUAGAGGUGAAAUUCGUAGAUAUCGAGAGGAACAUCGGUGGCGAAGGCGGCCAACUGGACGAAUACUGACGCUGAGACACGAAAGCGUGGGGAGCAAACAGGAUUAGAUACCCCUGUAGUCC